GUUUGCUUUGAGGGGUAUUAAUUUGUCAAGAUAGAGAGUCGUCCACAAAGAAAUCGUCCUUUAAGAGUUGUUGAUGAUUCUAACAAGGGGAGUGCCAAGUACUUUGGCUACCUUUUCUAUAUUGACUUUGAAGCUUCCAUGGCAGAACCUCGUGCUCAAAAUGCAUUGGGACAUUUGCAGGAAUUUGCAAGAUUUCUUCGUGUUCUUGGCUGCUACCCAAUUGAUACGGC
rnacentral:misc_RNA from 1 species